GAUGAACGCUGGCGGCGUGCCUAAUACAUGCAAGUCGAGCGAACAGACGAGGAGCUUGCUCCUCUGACGUUAGCGGCGGACGGGUGAGUAACACGUGGAUAACCUACCUAUAAGACUGGGAUAACUUCGGGAAACCGGAGCUAAUACCGGAUAAUAUAUUGAACCGCAUGGUUCAAUAGUGAAAGACGGUUUUGCUGCCACUUAUAGAUGGAUCCGCGCCGCAUUAGCUAGUUGGUAAGGUAACGGCUUACCAAGGCGACGAUGCGUAGCCGGCCUGAGAGGGUGAUCGGCCACACUGGAACUGAGACACGGUCCAGACUCCUACGGGAGGCAGCAGUAGGGAAUCUUCCGCAAUGGGCGAAAGCCUGACGGAGCAACGCCGCGUGAGUGAUGAAGGUCUUCGGAUCGUAAAACUCUGUUAUUAGGGAAGAACAAAUGUGUAAGUAACUAUGCACGUCUUGACGGUACCUAAUCAGAAAGCCACGGCUAACUACGUG
rnacentral:rRNA from 1 species